rnacentral:rRNA from 1 species
GCCUACGGCCAUACCACCCUGAAAGCGCCCGAUCUCGUCUGAUCUCGGAAGCUAAGCAGGGACGGGCUUGGUUAGUACCUGGAUGGGAGACCGUCUGGGAAUACCAGGUGUUGUAGGCU